rnacentral:lncRNA from 1 species
AUGGUCCAAUCACAGCGUUCUAUCGGUUUAACUGUCCAAUCACAGCGUUCUAUCGGUUUAACGGUCCAAUCACAGCAUUCUAUCGGUUUAACGGUCCAAUCACAGCAUUCUAUCGGUUUAACGGUCCAAUCACAGCGUUCUAUCGGUUUAACGGUCCAAUCACAGCGUUCUAUCGGUUUAACGGUCCAAUCACAGCGUUCUAUCGGUUUAACGGUCCAAUCACAGCGUUCUAUCGGUUUAACGGUCCAAUCACAGCGCUAUGUUGGUUUAAUCAUCCAAUCACAGCGCUAUGUUGGUGGUCCAAUCACAGCGCUAUGUUGGUGGUCCAAUCACAGCGCUAUGUUGGUUUAA